UCAGAACCCACACAGAACCCACCCAAUUACGGAUAAUCAUCAUAUAAUUGAACUAAACUUUUUACAGUUAAAUGAAUUCCGAGAAAAGAAAGGAGAUCCUUGUUAAAUGAAUUCCAAGAAAAGAAAGGAGAUCCUUGGUAUGGCCUUUUAUAUUCAGAACCCACUUACAGGUCUCACAAAUACCACUCGAUCGCGGCGGUCCGUUGAGCUUCUCAGUGUGUCAGGGGAACCUAACCUAAUUCUACCUACCACCGAACCUAACCUCUUCAUAAUAGUGUGCAAUUAUGCAAAGAAUCUUUUCAAAAAAUUAUAUAAUGUUUCCUGAAUUUGAUAAAUGGGAGCAAAAUAUAACGAUUUUGUGUCUGGGAAUUAUGGUUUGAAAUCCAGGAAUCCAUUUCAUUGGUUUAAAAAUUGUGCAUUGUUAAAGUUUGCUAUUUUUUAUUAAAUUAGUCGACUUAUU
rnacentral:lncRNA from 1 species